UACGUAGGGUGCAAGCGUUGUCCGGAAUUAUUGGGCGUAAAGAGCUCGUAGGCGGUUUGUCGCGUCUGCUGUGAAAUCCCAGGGCUUAACCCUGGGCCUGCAGUGGGUACGGGCAAACUAGAGUGCGGUAGGGGAGAUCGGAAUUCCUGGUGUAGCGGUGAAAUGCGCAGAUAUCAGGAUGGAACACCGUGGCGAAGGCGGACUCUCGGCG
rnacentral:rRNA from 1 species